GACGAACGCUGGCGGCGUGCUUAACACAUGCAAGUCGAGCGGUAAGGCCCUUUCGGGGGUACGACGAGCGGCGAACGGGUGAGUAACACGUGGGUGACCUGCCCUCAGCUCUGGGAUAAGCCCGGGAAACUGGGUCUAAUACCGGAUAUGACUUCAUGACGCAUGUUGUGGAGUGGAAAGCCUUGUGCGGCUGAGGAUGGGCCCGCGGCCUAUCAGCUUGUUGGGGGGGU
rnacentral:rRNA from 1 species